AACUCGCCUGCACGAAGUCGGAAUUGCUAGUAAUCGUAGGUCAGCAUACUACGGUGAAUACGUUCCCGGGCCUUGUACACACCGCCCGUCAAACCAUGAGAGUUGGCAACACCCGAAGUCGGUAGUCUAACCGCAAGGAGGACGCCGCCGAAGGUGGGGUUGAUGAUUAGGGUUAAGUCGUAACAAGGUAAC
rnacentral:rRNA from 1 species